CCGGCGCACGGGUGAGUAACACGUAUGCAACCUGGCCGUCACAGGUGGAUAACCGGAAGAAAUUCCGACUAAUACAGCAUAACACUCCUGAGGGACAUCCCUUGGGAGUCAAAGGAGGCAACUCCGGUGACGGAUGGGCAUGCGGCGCAUUAGGUAGUUGGUAGGGUAACGGCCUACCAAGCCGACGAUGCGUAGGGGUUCUGAGAGGAAGGUCCCCCACAUUGGAACUGAGACACGGUCCAAACUCCUACGGGAGGCAGCAG
rnacentral:rRNA from 1 species